rnacentral:rRNA from 1 species
AUGUUUUGCAAUAUGAAUUUUGAUGAUUAUGGGAGUGAUGAUGAAUCAACUUUGCCUAGAAGGCGUCCCAAAAAUUCGGAGUCUUUAGAUCUUGAUGUUAAAUUUGGUAAAAGUGAGAUUGGAGAAUCUUCAACUUCUAAUAAUGUUGAACCCACUAUCUCGGAUUUCAAGGAAUUUGAUUAUGAUAAUUGUUCUUUAAAAGGGUGUAUUUUCUUGUUGCAAUCCAUUGUUAAUUCUCCUCAUGCUUAUAGGCAAAAUAAAGCUUUUACCAAACAUAUCAUUGAUGCCUUGAUGCAAUCUUAUGAUGAAAAACUUAAUUUGGAAGUUUCUAUACCUAGAAAACUUAAUGAUGAGUGGGAACCAACUAUAAAGAUUAGAAUUAAAGAUUAUGAGUGUUUUGCUUUGUGUGAUUUGGGUGCUAGUGCUUCCAUGAUUCCGAAAACUUUAUGUGAUAUUCUAGGUUUCCAUGAUCUUGAUGAUUGUUAUUUAAAUUUGCACCUUGCGGAUUCCACCAUUAAAAAGCCUAUGGGAAGGAUCAAUGAUGUUCUUAUUGUUGCAAAUAGAAAUUUGGUGCCCGUAGAUUUUAUCGUUCUUGAUAUAGAUUGCAAUCUUUCUUGCCCUAUUAUUCUUGGUAGACCUUUCCUUAAAACAAUUGGUGCGAUUAUUGAUAUGAAGGAAGGGAAUAUUAGAUUCCAAUUUCCAUUAAAGAAAGGCAUGGAGCACUUUCCAAGAAAGAAAGUCAAAUUACCUUAUGAAUCUAUCAUGCGUGCUACUUACGAAUUUAGUGCCAAAGAUGGCACUCGUUAG